rnacentral:rRNA from 1 species
AGGAUCAUUAUUGAAUGAACUUGGUGUGGUUGUUGCUGGCCCUUUUGGGGGCAUGUGCACACCCACCAUCCUCAUCUCUCCACCUGUGCACCUCUUGUAGACUUGGGGAUAGAUUUUCCGAGGCAACUCGGUCUGGAGGAAUGCUACCAAGCUUUCUUUGUAUUUAUUUCCUGGUCUAUGUUUUUUCCAUAUACCCCUUAGCAUGUAACAGAAUGAAUGAUUUGGGCCUUUGUGCCCAUAAACCCUUAUACAACUUUCAGCAACGGAUCUCUUGGCUCUCGCAUCGAUGAAGAACGCAGCGAAAUGCGAUAAGUAAUGUGAAUUGCAGAAUUCAGUGAAUCAUCGAAUCUUUGAACGCACCUUGCGCUCCUUGGUAUUCCGAGGAGCAUGCCUGUUUGAGUGUCAUUAAAUUCUCAACCUUAUCAGUUUAUUUCUGAUAGUGGCUUGGAUUGUGGGGGUUGCUGGCUUUGAGGUCAGCUCCCCUUAAAUGCAUUAGCUGGUGCCUUGUGUGGACCGUCUAUUUGGUGUGAUAAUUAUCUACGCCAUGCAWGGUGGUGCUAGCGCUGCUUCUAACSGUCUGUUAAUUCGGACAAUACAUGACAAUUUGACCU